UGAACCUAAUUCUCUUUAAGCCAACCUCGUAAUCAUAAUUUUCCCCAAAUAAACAUUGGUGGAGUUCUUUGUAAAUUUAAUCCUUCUUAAUUUGAUAAAUUUGGUAAUUGGUUAAGAAUAUAGCAUAAAAGAAGAUAUUAGUUUUUGCUUAUGUUGUUAUUUAUUUGUUCGAAAACAUGCCAGAGGUGAUUCUUUUAUCGAUGGAGGAUUUAAAGCAUGGAACAAAAAAGAAAGAUUAAAUUUGCAUGUUGGUGAUUGUAAAAGUGCUCACCACCGAGCUGUCAUAAAAUGCGAAAAUUUGAUGAAGCAAAAAUAGUUUAUAGUGGCCGCGCUUCAUAAACAACAAGAGCAAGCUAAAAUUGAGUACCAAACUAGAGUUAUUGCAUCAAUUGAUUGUUUGAGUUUUUUACUACGGCAAGGAUUGGCAUUUUGUGGCCAUGACGAGCAUGAAUGCUCAAACAAUAGAGGGAAUUUUCUUGAACUUUUACAAUGGUAUGCUAAUCGAAAUAAAUGUGUAGAAAAGGUUGUGUUAGAAAAUGCUCCAGGAAAUCAACAAAUGACUGCACCUUCCAUUCAGAAGGACAUUGUUCAUGCUUGUGCCAAAGAAACAACUAGGGCCAUUAUUAAUGAUCUUGGUGAUGAAUUUUUAGAGAUAUUAGUUGAUGAGUUCGUGAUAUAUCACAUAAAGAGCAAAUGGCUCUUGUUUUGCGUUAUGUUGAUAGAAGGGGAGUUGUGAUUGAGUGAUUUAUUCGUCUUGUUCAUGUGGUUGAUACAUUUGCUUUGUCACUAAAGGAAGCAAUUGAUUCUUUGCUUGCUAAACAUUCAUUGAGCUCAUCUAGGAUACGUCGACAAGGUUAUGAUGGAGCUACCAACAUGCAAGGGGAGAUCAAUGGCCUAAAAACCUUAAUUAUGAGGGAAACUGAAUCAGCAUAUUUCAUUCAUUGUUUUGCUCAUCAACUUUAGCUAACACUGUUGCAUUUGCAAAAAAUAAUGAUGACGUUACUUGGUUGUUUAACUUAGUUGAUAAUGUGUUAAAUGUGGUUGGAGCUUUUUGCAAGCGAAGAGAUAUUCUCGAGGAGAAGCAAGCUAAAAAGGUUAAAAAAAAGCAUUGAAUGAUGGUGAACUUCAAACUGGACGUGGCUUAAAUCAAGAAAUUGGACUCAAAAGACCAGGCGAUACUCAUUGGGGAUCUCAUUAUAGAUCAUUUUUUGAAUUUGGCUAUUAUGUAUUAUCCUAUCAUUGACAUGCUUGAAAUUAUAACAAAUGAUGUGCUUAAAUUAUGUUUUCUUCUACUAGUCACUUUUGAAUUUGACUAUUGAAAUUAUAACAAUUGAUGUGCUUAAAUUAUGUUUUCUUCUACUAGUCACUUUUGAAUUUGACUAUUGAAAUUAUAACAAUUGAUGUGCUUAAAUUAUGUUUUCUUCUACAGGUCACUUUUGAAUUUGACUAUUAUGUUUUCUUCCAUAAUUGAUGUGCUUGAAACUAUUGCAACUAAUAGCCUUCAUUCUGAUUAAAGAAUUCAUGCACAAGUUCUUCUUGAUUCAUUAUAAUCUUUUCAAUUCUCUUUUACCUUACAUUUGAUGCAAAGGAUAUUAGGGAUCACAAAUGAGAUGAAUGUAGCUUUGCAAAGAAAAGAACAAGAUAUUGCCAAUGCUAUGACAAUUGUUAAAUUGGAGAAGCAACACUUGCAGUUGAUGAGAGAAGAAAAGUGGGAAUCUCAUUUAGAGUGGUUUCUUCAUUUUGUGAGAAGCAUGACAUCUCAAUCCCUAAUAUUUUAGACUUAAAUGUUCCUCAAAGAAGGUCAAGACGUAAAGUUGCAAAGAUUGCAAAUUUACACCACUACCGCGUUGAGUCAUUUUACAAAAUUAUUGAUAUGCAACCUUAGAAGUUUAAUGACCGUUUCAAUGAGGUUAACACAGAAUUGCUUGUUUGUGUGGUUUGCUUGAAUCUGGCUAGUUCUUUCUCUUCUUUUAACAUAAAAAGGUUAGUUAGAUUAGCUCAAUUUUAUCCAUUAAGUUUUCAAAUGUUGAGCUCUUGACACUUGAAAACCAACUUGGAAACUUUAUUUUUGAUAUGCGUCAAGAUAAUAGGUUUCAUGAAUUGAAAGGGCUUAGUGAUCUUUCUACAAAAUUAGUUGAAACAAAAAAGCAUAUUGUGUGUCCACAGAUGUAUUUACUUUUGAAGCUUGCACUUAUUCUACCUGUCACUACUGCAACUAUGGAACGAGCUUUUUCAGCAAUGAACUUUAUCAAG
rnacentral:misc_RNA from 1 species